AAAGACCAUAGUUUUACACUGUAUAUGUCAAACGUUUAAUUAUCCGUCUUAUUUGAAAAAAAAUUUUAUGACUAGUAUUUUUGUUGUUAUUAAAUGAUAAAAUAUAAAUAACACUUUAUGUGUGACUUUUUUUUUUAUUUUUUUUCAUAACUUUUUCAAAUAAGACGGACGGUCAAACGUUAGACACGAAAAGCUAUAAUUAUACUUAAA
rfam:Oryza sativa (indica cultivar-group) chromosome 6, whole genome shotgun sequence.